GACGAACGCUGGCGGCGUGCUUAACACAUGCAAGUCGAACGGAAAGGCCCUGCUUGCAGGGUACUCGAGUGGCGAACGGGUGAGUAACACGUGGGUGAUCUGCCCUGCACUUCGGGAUAAGCCUGGGAAACUGGGUCUAAUACCGGAUAGGAGCCAUUUUUAGUGUGAUGGUUGGAAAGUUUUUUCGGUGUAGGAUGAGCUCGCGGCCUAUCAGCUUGUUGGUGGGGUAAUGGCCUACCAAGGCGGCGACGGGUAGCCGGCCUGAGAGGGUGGACGGCCACAUUGGGACUAAGAUACGGCCCAGACUCCUACGGGAGGCAGCAGUGGGGAAUAUUGCACAAUGGGCGCAAGCCUGAUGCGGCGACGCCGCGUGGGGGAUGACGGCCUUCGGGUUGUAAACUCCUUUCGCUAGGGACGAAGCUUUUUGUGACGGUACCUAGAUAAGAAGCACCGGCUAACUACGUG
rnacentral:rRNA from 1 species